rnacentral:rRNA from 1 species
GACAGAGGUGCCGAGCGUUAGGCGGAAUCACUGGGCUUAAAGCGUGUGUAGGCGGAUGCCUAAGUACCUUGUGAAAUCCCAUGGCUCAACCAUGGAACUGCUUGGUAUACUGGGUGUCUUGAGCUAUCUAGGGGCAACUGGAACAAACGGUGGAGCGGUGAAAUGCGUAGAUAUCGUUUGGAACGCCAAUGGUGAAAACAGGUUGCUGGGGAUAUGCUGACGCUGAGAGACGAAAGCUAGGGGAGCAAAUGGG